AUAGCAACAGCAGCGUAGCUGAACAUCUUACGGAUGGCCCAGGGCUCCAAAGGCUCGUUUCCUAAGUGAGAGAGAGCCUGGCUGAAGCUGUAUUACCAUUCAUUCUCCAGCCUCCGAAGUCUCAAAGCAUCACUUCCACCAUACUCUAACUGUCAAGACAAACACAAAGGCCCAGAGAAGGGGUCUCACUAUGUUGUCUGGAGUGCUGUGGUGGAGUGGAGUGGCUAUUCACAGGAUUCUUGGAAUGGACUGUAAAAGUCUGGAAUCAAGACUUUGUGUUUCCUCUCUAACAUGUAAAGAGCUUAGAAGUUGUCGCUAUUGCCCUUACAACAAAAUGAAGCUGGACAAACUGAAAAUCAAUGACUUUUCUUGGACUCACUAUACAGCUGAGUUUGCAGAGUAAACCACUACCCUGAAAUCUGGAAAGGCAGGUGCACCCACAGAUCCUCAGCUGAGAUCCAAUUACCUGAAAUAGAAGCUGCCAUUAGGAACACUUAAAAG
rnacentral:lncRNA from 10 species